rnacentral:lncRNA from 1 species
UUUUUGCUCUUGCACUUGGAAAUAGGAGUCCUUUGCUUGACACUCAGAAAAGGGACCAAAAUGUCCACACUUUUUGCUAAUUCCAAUAGGACACUUUGAAGUGGAAUGUCGAGCUAUGUCAUGUUAUGUCCCACAAUGUCCCAGUGUACAAAAGUGUCAGCACUUCCAGAAACUCUGUAAUAAGAAAGUCAUUAUUUCUGAAUCAUGCAACUGUCAAGUGUUAUAUCUCCUCUUUUUUGGAUAUAUUCCAAAGUCUCCUCUAGACAUUUAAUUACAGAAGGGUUGUGGGAAUUUUUUCUAAUGAUGACUAUAUUCUUGAGAUGCUUCCUUAUGGUAAAAAGUAUUCCAUCGAUGAUAAAGACUGCUAUAGACCAGCAUAUGUUCUCUUGAUACGUUUGCUUUAUGCUUCCUCCAUCUCUUGUUCACUAUAAGUCUUGGAGUGUGUGUACCAUUGAGUUCUUUGGUUUCUCUUAGGGAUUGCAAUUACUUUUAGUUCUUAUGCACGAACAAGUCUCAGAAAACUAUUCUCUCUUAGUGCAACAGAUAGGCCACUGAAUAUAGUUCUUAUUUAUCCAAGUACUAAAGGUAGGUGAACCACUUUAUUUUUGAGAAAUUAUGUAAUAAUUGGUAGAGGAAGAAUGCACAUUUGUCAAACUGCACAUUUGUCAAAUUAUUAGCCUUCUGAUAGUCUGACAGCUCAAUAGCUAUGGAAGGCCUGGUAAAAUUCUUUCUAUGUUGAAUAAACUUAACUUCUAAUAUUUGUAUUAUUUAUAUGUUCCUUAUAUUUUCAUUAAACAAGAAAAACUGGAAGUUAAUAUUUUAAAUGCAUGCCUUGUGGUUUCGAGUUUUGGCUAAAAGCCUAAAACUGAUCUGUUUUGGCCAAGAUUGAUCCGAAGCUGACCGGUUUCGGUCAGUAUUGGCAGUUUCGGCAUGUUUUGGCCAUGUUUAGUUAGUUUGGCUGGUUUUGGUGGUUUUGGCCAG